ACCUCUACCCGUGUACCUGAUCUCAUCUGAUCUUGGAAGUUAAGCAAGCUUUGGGCCUGGUUAGUACUUGAAUGGGAGAGCAUCUGAGCACAACGGAUGCGAUAGGUU
rnacentral:rRNA from 1 species